rnacentral:ncRNA from 1 species
CAAAAAACGUUGAAGAGAAGAGUAGAUAAAUGAUUUCUUUCAAAGAGAGUUCCCAUUGGUGAGAAGGGGCAUAGAGAUAUUUAUUGAAAAAGGUCUCAGAGUUUCUCAUUGAGCCGGCUUAGUCGAGGUAGGUGUCGACGGGGACUCCCGUUACAGAGUUAAAGUAUCGUUCAUAGAUAUCAUUAAACAGUAUUAGGUGAGUUAUCUGGAGCCGUACUUGAAAAGGUUAAUAUGGUGACAUAUUAAUAAACUGGGGUGGUACCACGAAGAAAUAAAACUCUCGUCCCCAAG